GACGAACGCUGGCGGCGUGCCUAACACAUGCAAGUCAACUUGACUGAAGGAGCAAUCUGACAGUAGAGUGGCGCAAGGGUGCGUAACGCGUAAGUAACUUGCCCCAAGGUAAGGAAUAAACGUCGAGAAAUCGGCGCUAAUACCUCAUAAUGCAGCGGAUCCGCAUGGAUAUGUUGUUAAAGGUUUACCGCCUUGGGAUAGGCUUGCGUCUGAUUAGCUAGUUGGUGUGGUAACGGCACACCAAGGCUACGAUCAGUAACUGGUCUGAGAGGAUGAUCAGUCACACUGGAACUGAGACACGGUCCAGACUCCUACGGGAGGCAGCAGUGAGGAAUAUUGGGCAAUGCUCGAAAGAGUGACCCAGCAACGCCGCGUGGAGGAUGAAGGUAUUC
rnacentral:rRNA from 1 species